CGGGGCGCAGCGCGCCGGCCGUGAGGCGCGGGGAGUAAAACUCCUCCCUGAGGAAGGCGCUGGCCCGGCCCGCCCAGAGCGGUGGGGGAGUCUCCAUCCCUGGCGGUUUAAGCCCCGGGUGGACAAAGCCUUGGCUGAGGUGAUGGAGUCGGGGCUGGCCCUGCCUGGAGCAGCGGGGUGGACCCGCUGCGACCCCCGGGGUCCUUGCCCCCCUUGUUUUCUAGGAUUUAAGCGGCGCCCCUGGAGCGCGCCGGCCCAGGGGGCGACGAUGGGGAGAGGUCUCCGUCCAGCCGUCGGGGCGGCGGGGAAGCGAGCGCGGGCGCGCCCCGGGCACCACGCCUGCUCCCUCCGGCCCGGCCGGCGGGAAGGUGUGCGGCCGGAGGCACGCGGGGCAGCUCGUGGGCCUGACGGCGCCUCGGCAGUACUUGCCCCUGCCACCUCAUCCCAGCGCCCGCAGCGCGCGGAUCCCCGGGCAGCCAGCCCCGGUCCCCAGGCCCGAGCCGACGCUGUUCCCUCCGGCGAGGCUGCGUGCGGUGAGGUCACCCGGGCAGCUGGCACCAGUACAGCAACCCCCAAAUACCGGUGCCAAAAGGCCUCCGGAGUUGGCAGCGCUCCCACGGACAGAGAUUUAAUCAGGGGUGGAAAAGCCCGUCGUUUCACACACCUCGCCUGGGGCAGCCCGUACAGAAAGCAGGUGCGUGCCCAAGGUAGAUACAUUUCUACACGGAUUCACCAUUUUGUGCCCCUCUCAACCAGCCCCAGGAAAGAAGAAUUUAGCCUUUUUAAAAAAUUUUUGUACUCACCAGCAGAAAAGGCCCACAGCCAAGCCCGGAUUACACUCCUUUAUCCCAGCGUGAAGCCUCAGAAACCUCAUCCUUGCUGGUCCAGGGAGAGCGGAAAGAUCAUUCGAGCCCUCUCCAUGCUCCCGCCCUGCGAGCUGGGCAGCACGAGCGCAGAGACAAGCAGAAAUGAGGAGCCGACGGGGCUCUUGACCUGCAUGGGAGCGCGGGUGACAGAAACACGUCAGCGGCCGAACGACACAGGAGCUCUCGGGGAUUUGAUCUGAGAGUUUCUCCAAUGCACGAGAUCGUACCUGGAGCGAGAGCUGACCCCCGCGGCCCUGUAGAAAGAUGGGCUGCACGGCGCAUCGCUGCUGGAAGAUACGAGGGUGCCUGGGCUGAAUCUCAUCUUUGCUCCCGGCUGCAUCGGUGUCCAGGAGCCUGCAGAACAAAGCAUCUGGCACGCUGGGAAGGAGCUGGCGGCUUCCCCCUGGAGACCUUCCCAGCAUGGUUGUCCAACCUGGAGGGGCUCUGCCAUGCCACGUGCUGCCGUGCCUCCAGAGGAGUGGCAAGAACAGGACACAUGGAGAAGGAUCAAGGGAAUGGGCUUCUGCGCCCAGCUCUGCCUCCGAACAGCCAUGUGACCCUGGGAAGUCACUUCACCUCGGCGCCUCAGUGUCCACACCUGUGAAAUGGGAGUAAAGACACUCUGUCACCUGGUAAAGUGCUUUGCGAUGAACGUGUGGAAGAGCCCCAAAGUUAUUCAUAUAAAAGGGUCUAAGCAAGCAACUGAAAAGGAGAGAAGGGAUGAGAGAGGAGGACAACAAAGAGCGACUGCAGUAGAGGCAUAUAAAAUAAUGCACGGGAAGCGAUAAUUUGAGCAGUCCCGCUUACAUUCCCACGUGACGCAGACAAAGGGUUGGGUUUCCUGGAAGGCAGAGCGGAUCCCAGGAGGGCUCACCCGGGGAACUCACUGCUGCAGGAUAUCACGGGGGGCCUCAGCUGAGCAGGAUUCAGAGAUGGACCAGAGAAUUAGAUGGGCCUUAAGUAGGUGCACAGGUCCAUAAAUGAGGAUGAGAAAGAAGGGAGAUAGGCAGGGUGCAAACCGGUGGGUAACCACGGAGAAUCAGAAGAAACCUGCCUCUGCAGAUGUCCGCUAUAGCGUUUCUUUCAUCUCCUCCCCGAGCGUCUGGGGCUGGCCAUAGGCAGACAAGCAGGGCCGCUGCUUCGAUGCCAUCUUGCCAAGGCACCAGUGGACCCAGACACCAGAGCGCCCAUCCCAGGUAGCAUCUAACGAGGCAGCCGCCCCCAUAACCAGGAAGGGCCUCCUUUCCAAACCCUCUCCAGCCCCUUCUUCUACCUGGAAAGCCCGGGCAGCAGCAACACGGUCACGAGCCAUGCUGCUUAGAAAUGAAGCGCACGCAAUGAAGCAAGCAGAUCUGAACAAAACCAGGGCUCUCUGCAAGUCCCGCAGGAGGGAGCCCCCUUCUCUCCGCUGAGCGCCCCUGAUGCCGGGCGAGACGCAUGCAAAGUGACGGCUUGCAGCGCAGACAGGCUCCACGCAGCUCCUGCUGGCUCAGCAAAGCCGGGCGCUGCCUCUUGGCUCGGCUCGCCUGCAGGAAGCCUGCUCGCAGCCCCGGCCCGGGCUGCUCUGCUCUUCCCUGCUUUGGUGCUGGGAGUUUCUACCCAUCACCCAGGCCAAAAGCAAUCAGAGCAGAUGUUCAUAGUACCAGAGUAGUUCAACCCCUAAAAAUUCAGCCCGACUGCUCCUGAUAAGGCUGAAAGGGGGGUCUCAGGGAUGGGCCUCGGUUUUCCAGAGUCCCUCUCUGGCUCUGAAACCAUGUGAAGGGAGACAGCACCGGGCAGCGUGUCUCCAUGCUGCUGCUGGUGGCUUGGUAGCCCAGCUACGAUCCUCGCAUGGGAAACGCUUGACCGGCUCGGUGUUGCAUGGCCCAAGCGCUCCCCAAGCCCAGCUGCAAACUGUGCGGGCUUCCUUCCGCCGCUUGCUACGCCUCAUGCCCAGCCAACCGUCUCGUCGCUCCGGCUUGGCGGUGCUUCUUUCUCUCCUUUGGCUCGGUGAGCUCCAGCCUAGUGCGCGGGCCCAGGGACGGGUGUGAACCUGGCGGCCUUGCUCCUUGAAGUCGUUCCUGGGGCAGGUCCGAAGCAGAGAGAGGAGCAGCUGUGGGGAGGAUGCCGUCCGCCUGGUUUCUGCAGAGUCCCUUGUUCAGCGCUCGGUGAGAGCAACUCUGUCCAAGGUGUCAUCCUUAGCGGGGCCAAGUGCUCAACACCCCUCCUCUGUGAAUGCCUAGGCAGUGGAUGGCCAAGCCGGGUUUCAUACCUCACCAUCGAGGCGCUGUAAGAUAUAACGGCAAGGGAGGGAAAGCAAAGAGGGUCAAAUCCUCCAUGUGCAAAUCCCCUUUGUGCUCAGUAACCUCAGCGGGGAGCGACAUUCACGCUGGCAUCAGGAAAGCAGGAUCUGGUCCAGGCAGGCUUUGUGUCCUCUUGCUGCAGACACCCCUCCUGCUAUACUGGACAGCUAGCUUUUGCCUGAGCAGAUCGGACGUGCAUUUCCCCAGCCGGCUGCAGCCCUGCAGUCCUGACUCGGGAGCCCCGCCACCAGGUCGUAGCGAUUUCCCUGCCGAGCAGGGGGAAUCUCGCCCCCCAAAAUAAAAAAAAGGUAACCUGCCA
ensembl:lncRNA